GCCGGGUGUGGUGGCUCACACCUGUAAUCCCAGCACUUUGGGAGGCUGAGGCGGGUGGAUCACCUGAGGUCAGGAGUUCGAGACCAGCCUGACCAACAUGGAGAAACCCCGUCUCUA
rnacentral:SRP_RNA from 1 species